AGUGGCGAACGGGUGAGUAACACGUGAGUAACCUGCCCUUGACUCUGGGAUAAGCCUGGGAAACUGGGUCUAAUACCGGAUAUGACCUUCCAUCGCAUGGUGGUUGGUGGAAAGCUUUUGUGGUUUUGGAUGGACUCGCGGCCUAUCAGCUAGUUGGUGAGGUAAUGGCUCACCAAGGCGACGACGGGUAGCCGGCCUGAGAGGGCGACCGGCCACACUGGAACUGAGACACGGUCCAGACUCCUACGGGAGGCAGCAGUGGGGAAUAUUGCACAAUGGGCGCAAGCCUGAUGCAGCGACGCCGCGUGGGGGAUGAAGGCCUUCGGGUUGUAAACCCCUUUCAGCAGGGAAGAAGCGAAAGUGACGGUACCUGCAGAAGAAGCGCCGGCUAACUCCGUGCCAGCAGCCGCGGUAAUACGGAGGGUGCAAGCGUUAUCCGGAUUUACUGUGUUUAAAGGGUGCGUAGGUGGGUAGGUAAGUCAGUGGUGAAAUCUUCAAGCUUAACUUGGAAACUGCCAUUGAUACUAUUUAUCUUGAAUCAUCUGGAGGUAAGCGGAAUAUGUCAUGUAGCGGUGAAAUGCUUAGAUAUGACAUAGAACACCCAUUGCGAAGGCAGCUUACUACGGAUGUAUUGACACUGAGGCACGAAAGCGUGGGGAUCAAACAGGAUUAGAUACCCUGGUAGUCCACACCGUAACGUUGGGCGCUAGGUGUGGGGUCCAUUCCACGGAUUCCGUGCCGCAGCUAACGCAUUAAGCGCCCCGCCUGGGGAGUACG
rnacentral:rRNA from 1 species